UACGAAGGGGGCUAGCGUUGUUCGGAUUUACUGGGCGUAAAGCGCACGUAGGCGGAUCGUUAAGUCGGGGGUGAAAUCCUGGAGCUCAACUCCAGAACUGCCUUCGAUACUGGCGAUCUUGAGUCCGGAAGAGGUGAGUGGAACUCCUAGUGUAGAGGUGGAAUUCGUAGAUAUUAGGAAGAACACCAGUGGCGAAGGCGGCUCUCUAGUACGGUACUGACGCUGAGACGCGAAAGCGUGGGGAGCGAACAGG
rnacentral:rRNA from 1 species